GCAUUGGGUUAGCAGUUUAGCCCAGCAUUUCCCUUCCUGGACACACAGGAGAAAUGCUGGACUAAUCUGCUAACCCAAUGC
rnacentral:miRNA from 1 species